AUUGAACGCUGGCGGCAGGCCUAACACAUGCAAGUCGAGCGGAGCGGCGGACGGGUGAGUAAUUCCUAGGAAUAUGCCUGGUAGUGGGGGAUAAAGUCCGGAAAAGGGCGCUAAUACCGCAUACUCUCAGAUGAGCCUAGGUCGGAUUAGCUAGUUGGUGGGGUAAAGGCCUACCAAGGCGACGAUCCGUAACUGGUCUGAGAGGAUGAUCAGACACACUGGGACUGAGACACGGUCCAGACUCCUACGGGAGGAAGCAGUGGGGAAUAUUGGACAAUGGGCGAAAGCCUGAUCCAGCCAUGCCGCGUGUAUGAAGAAGGCCUUAGGGUUGUAAAGUACUUUAAGUUGGGAGGCGUUACCAACAGAAUAAGCACCGGCUAACUUCGUGCCAGCAGCCGCGGUAAUUC
rnacentral:rRNA from 1 species